CGUAAUGCCAUUAAUUUGGUGUUGCGGGGAAUUUGGACUGUUACUUUGAAAAAAUUAGAGUGUUUAAAGCAAGCUAACGCUUGAAUACAUUAGCAUGGAAUAAUGAAAUAGGACGUUCGAUCCUAUUUUGUUGGUUUCUAGGAUUGACGUAAUGAUUAAUAGGGAUAGUUGGGGGCAUUAGUAUUCAAUUGUCAGAGGUGAAAUUCUUGGAUUUAUCGAAGACUAACUACUGCGAAAGCAUUUGCCAAGGAUGUUUUCAUUAAUCAAGAACGAAAGUUAGGGGAUCGAAGACGAUCAGAUACCGUCGUAGUCUUAACCAUAAACUAUGCCGACUAGGGAUCGGAUGAUGUUAAUUUUUUAAUGACUCAUUCGGCGCCUUACGGGAAACCAAAGUGUUUGGGUUCCGGGGGGAGUAUGGUCGCAAGGCUGAAACUUAAAGGAAUUGACGGAAGGGCACCACCAGGCGUGGAGCCUGCG
rnacentral:rRNA from 1 species